GGAUGAACUCUAAGUAUAUAUGUUAGAGUUCGAAUAAAGUUGAUAUCAUUUGACUAAAUUCUAAGUAUAUGGCUUAGAACUCUGUCGAUUUGGAGAUAUUUCGCCUUAGUUAUAUGUGCUAAGGCGAUUGACUUAGCCCUAAGUAUAUGUAUUAGGGGUAGUCGAUAUUUAAUUUUCACUCUAGGUAUAUGUACCAGAGUAAAAAAAGGGUUCACGAUGAGAUUUGGGUAUUGGUUCAUGGGAUUUGAGUAUUGGUUCAUGAGAUUUGGUUUAUGAAUUUGGAUAUGGUUCAUGAAUUUGGUGUAUGG
rnacentral:lncRNA from 1 species